rnacentral:rRNA from 1 species
UAGGGAAUCUUCCACAAUGGACGCAAGUCUGAUGGAGCAACGCCGCGUGAGUGAAGAAGGCUUUCGGGUCGUAAAACUCUGUUGUUGGAGAAGAAUGGUCGGCAGAGUAACUGUUGUCGGCGUGACGGUAUCCAACCAGAAAGCCACGGCUAACUACGUGCCAGCAGCCGCGGUAAUACGUAGGUGGCAAGCGUUAUCCGGAUUUAUUGGGCGUAAAGCGAGCGCAGGCGGUUUUUUAAGUCUGAUGUGAAAGCCCUCGGCUUAACCGAGGAAGUGCAUCGGAAACUGGAAAACUUGAGUGCAGAAGAGGACAGUGGAACUCCAUGUGUAGCGGUGAAAUGCGUAGAUAUAUGGAAGAACACCAGUGGCGAAGGCGGCUGUCUGGUCUGUAACUGACGCUGAGGCUCGAAAGCAUGGGUAGCGAACAGGAUUAGAUACCCUGGUAGUCCAUGCCGUAAACGAUGAAUGCUAGGU